GAUGAAGAACGUAGUGAAAUGCGAUAAGUAAUGUGAAUUGCAGAAUUCAGUGAAUCAUCGAAUCUUUGAACGCACAUUGCGCCCGCUAGUAUUCUGGCGGGCAUGCCUGUCCGAGCGUCAUUUCAACCCUCAAGCCCCCGGGCUUGGUGUUGGGGAUCGGCGAGCCUCCGCGCCCGCCGUCCCCUAAAUCUAGUGGCGGUCUCGCUGUAGCUUCCUCUGCGUAGUAGCACACCUCGCACUGGGAAACAGCGCGGCCACGCCGUUAAACCCCCAACUUCUGAACGUAUGACCUCGGAUCAGGUAGGAAUACCCGCUGAACUUAAGCAUAUCAAUAAGCGGAGGA
rnacentral:misc_RNA from 1 species